AUGACGCCGGUGGUUCAUUGCUCUGUUGGCACCAUCAGCCUGUUCCACAUAGGCAGUUUCAGGCCCAGCCGAGAAAUCCAGAUAAGAAGGUUCCGUGGUUCAGAGAGGUAUUCGAGAGUCACAUCGCCCUCGCGCCAUGGGCUGCUGCAGCCACAGACACCAUUCCACCUGAUCAGCAUCUACAAAAGAAGCUGGUCCUCUGCCAACAACAGGCUAAGGACCUUGUCAGCAGCAGCUGUUGGGACCGAUGUCACGGUGGAGGGUUCGGCAUCUCCGUCAGGAGAAACCUCCGAGGCCGCACCUGCCGCUGCUGAAACUACUGGGCAGGCUGUGGCUAGCAAGAGCCCGGCUUCCUCCCCUCCCAAGUUAGGCCGCAACCCACGUAAGAGCGAGAUGCCUCCGUUGAAGGAUGGUGAUCUAGUUCCUGGUGCAUCCUUUACUGGGAAAGUCAGGUCUAUCAAGCCAUUUGGAGUCUUUGUUGACAUUGGAGCAUUCACUGAAGGCCUUGUUCAUAUCUCCCGAGUAAGUGACGGUUUUGUGGAAGAUAUAUCUACCCUCUUCACUGUUGGGCAAGAGGUGUCAGUGAAAUUAGUGGAAGUAAAUAAAGAAACAAGGCGCAUCUCCUUGACAAUGCGGACAGGUGGAGAUUAUGUCAAGGAAGCACCUACGGCUCCAAGCGGUGGGAGGAGUCCAACUGCAGCUGCGCCUAGAAGCUCACCAAGGCAAACAAAGGAUUUCAAGAAGAUAGACGAGGCAAAGUAUACACGAGGACAAUCUCUGACUGGCACUGUGAAAAAUACGACAAGAACAGGGUCAUUUGUGACACUGCCUGAUGGAGAAGAAGGAUUCCUCCCAAGGGAAGAGGAAGCAGCAGCACUGUUCACCCUUAUCGGGCAUUCCGCACUGGAAGUUGGUCAAGAGGUAACGGUGAAAGUAUUGAAUGUAGCACGAGGCCAGGUCACAUUGACAAUGAAGGGGGGAGAAGAUGAUGACGAUGAGUUGUCGUCGUUAAACACCAACCUGAAGCAGGGAUGGUCCAGAGGGACCAACGCUUUCGAGUUAGCUUUCCGUAGGAGCAAGGAAAUCUCUGCAUUCUUGGACCAGAGGGAAAAGGUUACGGCUCCAGAAGUGAAAACAGAAGUUGAGACUGAGACUUCAGUUUCAACUUCUGGGGUUGAAAGCGCAAUUGAUGACAAGCUCGUUGAGCCUCCUACUGAAGUUGAAAGCAAAGAGGAUAGUUCUUUAACAGAAACUGUCACUGGCACCGUUGAGCCUCCUACAGUUUCUGCUACUGAAGUUGAAACCAAAGAGGAGGACAGCGCUUCAACAGAAGCUGUCACUGGCGCCAUUGAGCCUCCUACAGUUUCUGCUACUGAAGUUGAAACCAAAGAGGAGGAUAGCCCUUCAACAGAAGCAGUCACUGGUGCCGUUGAAGAAAUCACUCCUGUUGAUAAGGCUGAGGAGCCAGAAGAAUCAGUACAGGAGGUUCCUACAACUGCAAGUAGUGAGUCUGCUGUGGUAACUGAGGAAGUAGCAGCCUCGGAUGAGAAAACCACAGAGGUUUCUGCUGCUGCAGCUGCAGAAGCAAGCACAACCACAGCAACUAUUUCUCCUGCUCUUGUCAAGCAGUUACGUGAUGCAACUGGAGCAGGCAUGAUGGACUGCAAAAAGGCUCUUGCUGAAUCGAGUGGUGACAUUGAUAAAGCUCAAGAAUUCCUCCGGAAGAAAGGGCUAGCUGCUGCUGACAAGAGGGCUGGAAGAGCCACUGCGGAGGGAAGAAUUGGUUCUUACAUACAUGACAGCAGAAUCGGUAUCCUUAUUGAAUUGAACUGUGAGACUGACUUUGUAUCACGAGGUGACGUCUUUAAGGAGUUGGUCGAUGAUCUUGCCAUGCAAGCUGCUGCUUGCCCUCAAGUAAAUUACAUUUCCAUUGACGAUGUCCCGGAGGAGGUUGUGAAGAAGGAGACGGAGUUGGAGAUGCAGAGGGAGGACUUGCUGUCGAAGCCUGAGCAGAUCCGUGCUAAGAUUGUCGAGGGCCGAGUAAAGAAGAGGCUUGGAGAAUUUGCAUUGCUUGAACAACCAUUCAUCAAGAAUGACAAGGUCACAACCGGUGAAUGGGUGAAGCAAACUAUUGCUACAAUCGGAGAGAACAUGAAGGUGAGGAGGUUUGUUCGGUACAACCUGGGAGAAGGGUUGGAGAAAAAAAGCCAGGAUUUUGCUGCUGAAGUUGCAGCCCAGACAGCCGCGAAACCACCACCAGCUGCUCCUGUGAAGGAUGACAAGCCUGAGGAAUCGGUUGAAGCUGCAGAGAAGAAACCAGCUGUGGCAAUUUCAGCUGCAUUGGUAAAGCAACUCCGAGAUGAAACUGGCGCUGGUAUGAUGGACUGCAAGAAAGCGCUGGCUGAGACUGGGGGUGACCUUCAGGGGGCUCAGGAGUUCCUCAGGAAAAAGGGCCUCUCGUCCGCAGACAAGAAGUCGUCUCGCCUGACCGCUGAAGGUCUGAUUGGCUCAUACAUCCACGACAACCGCAUAGGAUGCAUGAUUGAAAUCAACUCUGAGACUGACUUCGUGGCUCGCAAUGAGAAAUUCAAGGAGCUGGUGAAUGACCUCGCAAUGCAAGUGGUGGCAUGCCCACAGGUUGAAUAUGUCUCAAUGGAGGACAUACCAGAGAGUGUUGUCAGCAAGGAGAAGGAGAUUGAGAUGCAGAGGGAGGACCUGCAGUCGAAACCCGAAAACAUCAGGGAGAAGAUUGUGGAAGGGCGGAUAUCAAAGAGGCUUGGAGUGAUGGCCCUCCUGGAGCAGCCCUUCAUCAAGGAUGACAGCAAGACGGUGAAGGAUCUCGUUAAGGAGACGAUCGCCGGCCUGGGGGAGAACAUCAAGGUACGGAGGUUUGUCAGGCUCAACAGUAUCCCUAAGAUUUACAUGCUACAAACAAGAUGUUCCACUACAUGUUCAUGUGAGUUACAAGAGCUUCCACAUCCAGCGCAAUUCAGACAGCCCGCAUGCUCUCCCGCCCGACGUUAA
rnacentral:rRNA from 1 species